AGCGAACGCUGGCGGCAGGCCUAAUACAUGCAAGUCGAACGGAUCCUUCGGGAUUAGUGGCGGACGGGUGAGUAACACGUGGGAACGUGCCCUUUGGUUCGGAACAACUCAGGGAAACUUGAGCUAAUACCGGAUAAGCCCUUCGGGGAAGGAUUAUCGCCAUUGGAGCGGCCCGCGUCUGAUUAGCUAGUUGGUGGGGUAAAGGCCUACCAAGGCGACGAUCAGUAGCUGGUCUGAGAGGAUGAUCAGCCACACUGGGACUGAGACACGGCCCAGACUCCUACGGGAGGCAGCAGUAGGGAAUCUUGCGCAAUGGGCGAAAGCCUGACGCAGCCAUGCCGCGUGAAUGAUGAAGGUCUUAGGAUUGUAAAAUUCUUUCAGCGGGGACGAUAAUGACGGUACCCGCAG
rnacentral:rRNA from 1 species